rnacentral:rRNA from 1 species
AUACGGAGGAUGCAAGCGCUAUCCGGAUUUAUUGGGUUUAAAGGGUGCGUAGGCGGAUGAUUAAGCGUGAGGUGAAAUGCCACUGCUCAACAGUGGAACUGCCUCGCGAACUGGUUGUCUUGAAUGCUCCUGCCGUGGGAGGAAUGUGUGGUGUAGCGGUGAAAUGCAUAGAGAUCACACAGAACACCGAUUGCGAAGGCAUCUCACGAAGGGGUGAUUGACGCUGAGGCACGAAAGCGUGGGGAUCAAACAGGAUUAGAUACCCUGGUAGUCCACGCAGUAAACGAUGAUAACUAACCGCUGGGUCGUAGUGAUUCAGUGGCCAAGCGAAAGCGAUAAGUUAUCCACCUGGGGAGUACGACCGCAAGGUUGAAAAUUAAAGGAAUUGGCGGG